AAAUUUUCCUUAUUAAACUUUCUUCUAACUUCAACCAGUUACGAGAUAUUUGCUCGGACAUUUAUGGACGGACACCCUGUAUAUACACAUACACACAAAUGUCUAUGUUACAAUCUUAACCAAGCUUAUAACCUAAACUAAUAUAAACAAUAAACAUAAUAGUGUGUCAAAAUGGUUGUUAUUAACGAAUUGCUAGUAGAAAUGCCUGAAAAUGAUCAAGAAAAAUUACCUAGCGUCACAAUCAAAAACCUUAUAACUUGAGUCCUUCAUAUAAAAUAGACUUUCUAUUCUAUUUUAAUCAUUAUUACUUCAUUAUUUUCAUUUUAACUAUUAAUCACUGAAAAAUAUUUUACAUCAUUAAUAAUCAUAAAUAAGAUGUAAAUGAAAAGCAGACACAAAUACGAUUAUAACAGCGAGAUUGAUCAUACACUCGACGUAUCUGCGCUGUUGCCAUAUUUACUCAAAAUACAGACGAACCCAUUGAGAAACAUUAUUUUUCACCCUAAAUGAAUUUUUUUUUAUAUACUUACAGCCAAUGAACGCAUAUUAAAAACAUAAAUAAGUAAUCUUUGAAUAUUUUAUUAAUAGUACAAAAAUUGUCAUUACGAUGUCAUAUUUUAUUACUGAGAUGUGCAUGUAAACAUUUGCCAAAGCUGCAGUUUUCCAUAAGACAAUGUUAAAUUUAUAAAAUUUUAAUUAUUAAUAUCUCGCUUAUAAACCAAAUUUGGGCCUUGAAAAUUUAACUGUAACAUAUAUGUAUAUUACAGUGUACCAAAUUUCAGAAUUUUUUUCAUGUUUCUUUCUGAUUGCUGGAGAACCUCCUUAAAGACGAGAAAGGUAAUAUAUGGUUAAGGCAAGUUCGUGAGUAAGUGCUGAAAUAAUAUUUUUAGUGUGGUUGAAAUUUCUAAUUCUUUUGAACUGUACUGCUACUUACAAUUUCAAACACAGCUCUUAAAUUGAAUCAGAAAAAUAUCACAGAAUUGAUAAAUCAGUUUAAUAUUAUUGAUACUAACUAGCAUUUCUAAGAUCUCUCAUUCUGGAAAAAGUCAGAAAUUUGUUAAAAAAAUAUUUUGUAUUUAUGUUAAAACCUCGGUUAAAACCGAUCUUUACUAAACUUUUUGUGUUAAAUUUUUAACAGAUUUCAGUAUUAAUUUAACAUAAUAUGAUUGUGUUAUUCAAAUAUUAGAUUUAUUUUUAACAUUUUUUAGCGUUAAAAUAAUAAAUGAAUAAAUGAACAAAUAAAAAUAAUGUAGUUUGAUUUACAUUCUAAAAUAAAUAAUGUAUUAUAUGUGUUAACGUACGAGGUCUGUCCCAAAAGUAUCCAUCCUUUGUAUAUCUUUGUCCUUGAGUGUCCUAUUGUGGAAAACAAGCAUUCAGUAUUUAGAGAGAUCUUGGGUACUUCUAUCAAGCGGCACGACCUAACACCUGUUUAGAUGGACAAUAAUACGUAGUUGUGUAAUCGUCGAAAAUUUUGAGCAUCACGUUUCACAAUAACCGAGCGAGCUGAGCAGAAAAUUGGUAUUAAAUUGUACCAAAAAACUUGCCCAUACAUAUUCCAAGAUAAUUAGCGUAAUCCGUAAAGUUUAUACAUGGUCUUCAACGUCGAGAACAGCAGAAAAUGUGAAAUGUAUGCGAACCGCAACGAAAAUUGUUUGCCUUAUUCUUAAACGAUUGCUACAUUGAGGAGGAAACGAUCACAUUUGUGGAAAAGUGGAAACUGGCUGUUGCACCACGAUAACGUACCUGCUCAUUUAUCUUAUCUGAUUCAAAAUUUGAUUAAACAUAGCUUUGUCCAACUUCACCAAACAAGAUUUAACCCCCAUGUGACUUCUGGUUAUUUCUUAAGUUGACAAAUCCAUUGAAAGGCAAAAGCUUUGACCAUAUUGAGGAAAUAAAACAAAAUGCAACGAGAAAGCUGUUGAUUAUAAAAAAAUGAUUACUAGGAGUGUUUUCGGAAGUGGAUAGAGACUACUGAUAGGUCAUUGCUUCGAAAGGAGAUUACAUUGAAGGCGACGUUGUUUAUAUCGCUUUGGAGUAGCUCUUUCUCAUAAUGUAGGAACAGAUUGAAUACUUUUGGAACAGACCUUGUAUUAUAAACGUCAAUUUUACUGAAGAAAUAUGCUUUUAUAAUUUUCUAUAAUUUUGUUUUUAAGUUGUGCCAAAAUAUUACAUUUUUUUAUGUUAAUUUUUUGUAUAAUAAAAAGCAUUUAUGAGAAUGGGUCAAGAAUUUGAGCAUUAAUAGGAUGAACAAUUAAUGUUUAUUAAUCUAACUUUGUAAAUAGAAAAAACAGAACGGUUUGACCUUUAUUUGGUCGUCCUCAGCUGUAUACAAAUGUGUUUUGAUUUAUAAUAUAAAAUAAAAAUAUUUAAUAUAAUGAAUUUAAUAUAAUGAAAAAAACGUUAAUAAAAUUACAUCGAUUAUCAGAUACAUAAAUAUAAGAGACAAAAAUGAAUACAUAUAAGUGUAAAGUAUAGAGAGAAUAUAUCACUUUCCUCACUGUAACUUCGAAUCAUAGAGAUAUGUCAAGUAAUAAAUAUAAUGUUUACACUCAAAG